rnacentral:piRNA from 1 species
GCUGAAUUUCUUUCUGAGC